GAUGAACGCUGGCGGCGUGCCUAAUACAUGCAAGUCGAGCGGACGGACGAGAAGCUUGCUUCUCUGAUGUUAGCGGCGGACGGGUGAGUAACACGUGGAUAACCUACCUAUAAGACUGGGAUAACUUCGGGAAACCGGAGCUAAUACCGGAUAAUAUUUUGAACCGCAUGGUUCAAAAGUAAAAGACGGUCUUGCUGUCACUUAUAGAUGGAUCCGCGCUGCAUUAGCUAGUUGGUAAGGUAACGGCUUACCAAGGCAACGAUGCAUAGCCGACCUGAGAGGGUGAUCGGCCACACUGGAACUGAGACACGGUCCAGACUCCUACGGGAGGCAGCAGUAGGGAAUCUGCCGCAAUGGGCGAAAGCCUGACGGAGCAACGCCGCGUGAGUGAUGAAGGUCUUCGGAUCGUAAAACUCUGUUAUUAGGGAAGAACAUAUGUGUAAGUAACUGUGCACAUCUUGACGGUACCUAAUCAGAAAGCCACGGCUAACUACGUG
rnacentral:rRNA from 1 species